CAGCAGCCGCGGUAAUACGAAGGGGGCUAGCGUUGUUCGGAAUUACUGGGCGUAAAGGGCGCGUAGGCGGCCAUUCAAGUUAGAUGUGAAAGCCCUGGGCUCAACCUAGGAAUUGCAUUUGACACUGUUUGGCUUGAGUUCGGGAGAGGUGAGUGGAAUUCCCAGUGUAGAGGUGAAAUUCGUAGAUAUUGGGAAGAACACCAGUGGCGAAGGCGGCUCACUGGACCGACACUGACGCUGAGGCGCGAAAGCGUGGGGAGCAAACAGGAUUAGAUACCCCCGUAGUCCCUGUCUCUUAUAC
rnacentral:rRNA from 1 species